UUUCCGUAGGUGAACCUGCGGAAGGACCAUUCAUAAUAAGUGUUUUAUGGCACUUUUUUAAAUCCAUAUCCACCUUGUGUGCAAUGUCAGGGUUGAUUUUUCUCUCGAGAGGAUCAACCCCAAACAUCAACUAUAUCUCAACUCUUUGUCUGAAAAAUAUUAUGAAUAAAACAAUUCAAAAUACAACUUUCAACAACGGAUCUCUUGGCUCUC
rnacentral:misc_RNA from 1 species